rnacentral:rRNA from 1 species
GACGAACGCUGGCGGCGUGCCUAACACAUGCAAGUCGAACGGGGUAAUUUCUUCGGAGAUUACUUAGUGGCGAACGGGUGGGUAACGCGUGAGAAACCUGCCUUUCAGUGGGGGACAACAGUUGGAAACGACUGCUAAUACCGCAUAAUGUUAUUUGGGGGCAUCCCUGAAUAACCAAAGCUUUAUGUGCUGAAAGAUGGUCUCGCGUCUGAUUAGCUAGAUGGCGGGGUAACGGCCCACCAUGGCGACGAUCAGUAGCCGGUCUGAGAGGAUGAACGGCCACAUUGGAACUGAGAUACGGUCCAGACUCCUACGGGAGGCAGCAGUGGGGAAUAUUGGGCAAUGGGCGAAAGCCUGACCCAGCGACGCCGCGUGAAGGAAGACGGUCUUCGGAUUGUAAACUUCAAACAACAGGGAAGAAACAAAUGACUGUACCUGUUAGGAAGCCACGGCUAACUACGUGCCAGCCGCCGCGGUAAUAC